CCCGGCCCUUCCCCAGAUUCCUUGUCUUCACGGAAGGACUGAGGGUCCACCGACAGCAUGGAAGGACUGAGGGUCCACCGACUUCACGGAAGGACUGAGGGUCCACCGACAGCAUGGAAGGACUGAGGGUCCACCGACAGCAUGGAAGGACUGAGGGUCCACCGACUUCAUCGAAGGAUGAAGGUCCACCAACUUCACGGAAGCACUGAGGGUCCACCGACAGCAUGGAAGGACUGAGGGUCCACCGACUUCACGGAAGGACUGAGGGUCCACCGACUUCACGGAAGGACUGAGGGUCCACCGACAGCAUGGAAGGACUGAGGGUCCACCGACUUCACGGAAGGACUGAGGGUCCACCGACUUCACGGAAGGACUGAGGGUCCACUGACUUCACGGAAGGACUGAGGGUCCACCGACACCUUGGAUGGCCGAGGGUCCACUAACAGCAUGGUGAAGAGAGGCGCACCUAGGUGUUUAGCAGUCUAUGAUGACCAUCGGACAUUAGGGGGCUUGCAUCGUAUUUGGUCAGGAACAGGGCGAUGACAGCACAGCCACACCUUUGACCAGCCGUGGCAGGCCACCAGACAGCACCGGCAAAUAGAAUGUGGUUUGGGUUUUCCUCUGACCGACAGCUGAAGACUUUAAGGAACCAAAUUAAGUUGUUUAAACUCCAGAGCUAAGUCUUGGAAGAAAACUGAGUCCGAGUGAUCCUUUUACAAAAAUCUGGAUGUGAGCCCGACCUUCCAUUCAGGUUCCACUGACCAGGAAGGACCAUGAAAACCUCACAUAGGCUCUGCUCCACACAUGACACUGGAUAGGUGCAGGCCCUGUGUCACAGGUUGCGCACAGUGAGGUCAAGAAACAGCAGGGGCAAACAGUGCUGCCUGUUGGACACCUGGGAGCAAAUCACAAAUAACAGGACAGGGAGCAUAGAGGAGAGUCCACCACUGUGCUAGUUUAUGUGUCAACUUGAUUAGGCCAUAAACACUGAUCCAGAUGUUUCUCUGAAGGUGUUUUGUAAAUGUGGUUAACAAUUACAAUCAAGUACCUUAAAUAAAGGGGAUUAUUCUCAGUAAUGUAGGUAGGCCUCACCUAUUUAGUUGAAAGACUUUAAGAACAAAGUAGGCUUUUCUGAGGAAAAAGAAAUUCUGUUUCAAGGCUACAGCAUCAGCUUCUGUCUGGGUGUUUCCAGCCUGUUGACCUUCUGUGUGUCAGACUGGCGGAGCAUGUAAGCCAAUUCCUACCAAUAUGCGUGUAUGUACUUAAUACAGUAUAUGUGUUCAUGGAUUUAAUCUCCUACUGGUUCUGUUUUCUUCCAGACUGUUUUUCUGACUUACACAAUCACUAAAGAAAAGACUGAAAGUCUGAAAUUUGGAGUUGGAACUGUCAAAAAAGAAUACGCUGGAGAAGAACAAGGUGAAACCAUACCUUGCUGUGGACCUGGCUGGGAAAUUUGAGAAAGACCCUCAAAAUCUGCAAAACAAAAGGAGGUUUCCAUGGACAAACACUGAGAAAAGUGUGGACAGAACCUCCAGCCAGCUGGAGUAAGGCCAUUUUGGAGAUACAGGAUGGGACCUCUGACUUUCAGAGAUGUCCUGGACCCUGCCUCCCAUGCUAGGUCCGUAAGGAGGUAAAAGAGGACCCUGGGCAACCAGUUUGCUGUGUUUGGAGCACUGUUUCUCCAUGUUCCCAAGUCCCUUUUCAGAAUAAAAAUCUCUUGAUUUUAAAGGGGAGACCACUGUGAAGUUGGAUAAGAA
rnacentral:lncRNA from 1 species